rnacentral:rRNA from 1 species
GGUCAAGCUAAUAAGGGCUUGCGGAGGAUACCUAGGCACACAGAGGCGAAGAAGGACGUGGCUACCAACGAAAAGCUCCGGGGAGUUGGAAGCAAGCAUUGAGCCGGAGAUGUCCGAAUGGGGGAACCCUAAAAACUGCCUAUUGAAUAUAUAGAUAGGUAAGAGCGAACCGGGCGAACUGAAACAUCUUAGUAGCCCGAGGAAAAGAAAUCAAACGAGAUCU